AGGCAACCCGUAAUUAGAUUCAAACUCAAGCCUGACUUGAAGUUGACCAAUCCAAUCCCACGUGCUGUCCUGAUCUGAACUUGAGCUCAUCCACGGAAGCUUUGCUCAAAAAUCCGGACCUUUUCUUGCUCACCUCUCCGUCUGCAUUCAGUCGAUCAUUUCCGAUUUACCCAAACAGAUACAUAGAGAGAGAUUCGUAUAGUGUUUUCACAUGGCUUUGAGCUCGUGGCUCUCCCGCCUCCGCUACUCCUCGAGGGCCGCCUUCCUUAGCAGCUCCCGCGCCGGCCGUCCACAUUCCAUCGGCCUCCGCGCUCCCUCUUCCCGUCCUCCUCCUUAUCAGUGUCGAGGCGCAAACAACCAGGUCGUUGCUCCUUCGAGAUAUCACGGCAGCUCGGAAGAACCGUUCCUACUGUGGCCGAGGGCUCUGCUUCCGGUGGCGGUUGCCGCGUCAGCUGCAUCGAUGGCGCUUCAGUCUCAGGCGAAUCCCUCACUCUGCGAUGAUUCCAGACAAGUCCGAUUUGGAGGCAAAGGGAGCACUGAGUUCGUGGUGAAGGGCAAUCAUAAGGAAGUUCCAAGACAGCUUAUUGAUGAACUCAGUACAAUCUGCGGAGAAGACAUGACUCUUGAUUAUGACGAGAGGGCUUUUCACGGGAAACCACAGAACAGUUUCCAUAAAGCUGUUAACAUUCCAGAUGUGGUCGUCUUCCCCAGGUCAGAAGAACAAGUUUCCAAGAUAGUUCAGUCUUGUAAUAAACGCAAGGUUCCUAUCGUGCCUUAUGGUGGAGCCACAUCAAUUGAAGGUCACACUUUAUCUCCCAACGGUGGUGUUUGUAUAGAUAUGUCAUUGAUGAACAAGGUUAAAGCUUUACAUGUGGAGGACAUGGAUGUGGUUGUUGAACCUGGCAUUGGGUGGAUGGAGCUCAAUGAAUACCUCGAGCCUUAUGGUUUAUUCUUUCCUCUUGAUCCAGGACCUGGUGCAACCAUUGGGGGUAUGUGUGCCACUCGAUGCUCUGGUUCUCUGGCUGUAAGGUAUGGCACUAUGCGUGACAAUGUCAUCAAUCUCAAGGUGGUUCUUCCUGAUGGAGAUGUUGUCAAGACAGCGUCUCGUGCACGAAAGAGUGCUGCCGGGUAUGAUUUGACUCGCCUGAUUAUCGGAAGUGAAGGAACCUUGGGUGUGAUAACAGAGGUCACUCUACGACUUCAGAAACUUCCGCAGCAUUCAGUGGUUGCUAUGUGUAACUUCCCAACUAUUAAGGAUGCUGCAGAUGUCGCCAUCGCCACUAUGCUCUCUGGAAUUCAGGUAUCAAGGGUGGAGCUGUUGGACGAGGUUCAAGUGAAAGCCAUUAAUCUUGCUAAUGGGAAGAAUCUACCUGAAGUUCCAACAUUGAUGUUUGAAUUCAUUGGCACAGAGGCAUACUCACGAGAGCAAACACAGAUUGUCCAGAAGAUUGUUUCUGAGCACAAUGGCUCGGAUUUUGUAUUUGCAGAAGACCCUGAAGCAAAGAAGGAACUUUGGAAGAUAAGAAAGGAGGCACUCUGGGCUUGCUUUGCUAUGGAGCCCAACUUUGAGGCAAUGAUUACGGAUGUAUGUGUUCCCCUCUCACACCUAGCUGAACUGAUAUCAAGGUCCAAGGAAGAGCUCAAUGCAUCACCCUUGGUCUGCACCGUUAUUGCUCAUGCUGGGGAUGGGAACUUCCACACAGUUGUUCUCUUCAAUCCUGACCAAGAAGAUCAAAGGCGCGAAGCAGAAAGACUUAAUCAUUUUAUGGUCCACACAGCCUUGUCAAUGGAAGCUGAAUGAGAGACUUGUCGAUCAAGAAGAUCCUCGUGCUAAAAUAUUCCUGGUUGAGCAGGAACAUGUACUGGCGAGCAUGGUGUUGGCACCGGGAAGAUGAAGUAUCUCGAGAAGGAGCUAGGGAUAGAGAACUUGAGGACGAUGAGAAGGAUCAAACAAGCCCUGGAUCCGAACAAUAUCAUGAACCCGGGAAAGCUGAUCCCUCCACACAUAUGCUUCUGAGAUCCCUUCACAUACAAAGUGUAAGUCCUUUUCAAUAAACGACUACGAAUUCUUAUGCCAUCUCCGGUUCAGCCGAAUUUUAAAAGGGCUACAAUGUAUCUGUACACCACUGAUUGUCUUGUCAAAAAUAAAAUGUCAAAAAAUUGAGAUUAAUGAA